rnacentral:rRNA from 1 species
GAUGAAAGAGGGAGGAGUGAGAAAUACAUGCAAGUCGAGCGAACAGACGAGGAGCUUGCUCCUCUGACGUUAGCGGCGGACGGGUGAGUAACACGUGGAUAACCUACCUAUAAGACUGGGAUAACUUCGGGAAACCGGAGCUAAUACCGGAUAAUAUAUUGAACCGCAUGGUUCAAUAGUGAAAGACGGUUUUGCUGUCACUUAUAGAUGGAUCCGCGCCGCAUUAGCUAGUUGGUAAGGUAACGGCUUACCAAGGCAACGAUGCGUAGCCGACCUGAGAGGGUGAUCGGCCACACUGGAACUGAGACACGGUCCAGACUCCUACGGGAGGCAGCAGUAGGGAAUCUUCCGCAAUGGGCGAAAGCCUGACGGAGCAACGCCGCGUGAGUGAUGAAGGUCUUCGGAUCGUAAAACUCUGUUAUUAGGGAAGAACAAAUGUGUAAGUAACUAUGCACGUCUUGACGGUACCUAAUCAGAAAGCCACGGCUAACUACGUG